CUACGGGGUGCUCCAGUGGGGAAUAUUGGGCAAUGGGCGAAAGCCUGACCCAGCAACGCCGCGUGAUUGAAGAAGGUCUUCGGAUUGUAAAAAUCUGUCCUUGGGGACGAAAAAAAUGACGGUACCCAAGGAGGAAGCCCCGGCUAACUACGUGCCAGCAGCCGCGGUAAUACGUAGGGGGCGAGCGUUGUCCGGAAUUACUGGGCGUAAAGGGUGCGCAGGCGGCACUUUAAGUCAGAUGUGAAAUACCCAGGCUUAACCUGGGGGGUGCAUUUGAAACUGGAGUGCUUGAGUGCAGGAGAGGAAAGUGGAAUUCCUAGUGUAGCGGUGAAAUGCGUAGAUAUUAGGAGGAACACCAGUGGCGAAGGCGACUUUCUGGACUGUAACUGACGCUGAGGCACGAAAGCGUGGGGAGCAAACAGGAUUAGAUACCCCUGUAGUC
rnacentral:rRNA from 1 species